rnacentral:rRNA from 1 species
GACGAACGCUGGCGGCGUGCCUAAUACAUGCAAGUCGAACGCUUUUUCUUUCAACGGAGCUUGCUCCACCGAAAGAAAAAGAGUGGCGAACGGGUGAGUAACACGUGGGUAACCUGCCCAUCAGAAGGGGAUAACACUUGGAAACAGGUGCUAAUACCGUAUAACACUAUUUUCCGCAUGGAAGAAAGUUGAAAGGCGCUUUUGCGUCACUGAUGGAUGGACCCGCGGUGCAUUAGCUAGUUGGUGAGGUAACGGCUCACCAAGGCAACGAUGCAUAGCCGACCUGAGAGGGUGAUCGGCCACACUGGGACUGAGACACGGCCCAGACUCCUACGGGAGGCAGCAGUAGGGAAUCUUCGGCAAUGGACGAAAGUCUGACCGAGCAACGCCGCGUGAGUGAAGAAGGUUUUCGGAUCGUAAAACUCUGUUGUUAGAGAAGAACAAGGAUGAGAGUAAAACGUUCAUCCCUUGACGGUAUCUAACCAGAA